rnacentral:tRNA from 5 species
GCCACCUUAGCUCAGUUGGUAGAGCAGACCCUUCGUAAGGGUAAGGUCCCCAGUUCAAAUCUGGGAGGUGGCUCCA